AGUGAACGCUGGCGGUAGGCCUAACACAUGCAAGUCGAACGGCAGCACAGUAAGAGCUUGCUCUUACGGGUGGCGAGUGGCGGACGGGUGAGGUAUAUAUCGUAAUCUACUUUUUCGUGGGGGAUCACGUAGGGAAACUUACGAUCAUACCGCAUCCGACCUACGGGUGAAAGCAGGGGAACUUCGGACCUUGUGGGAUUGAAUGAGCCGAUGUGGGAUUAGUUAGUUGGCGGGGUAAAGGCCCAGCCAGGCGACGAUCGGUAGCUGGUGUGAGAGGCUGAUCGGCGACACGGGAGGGGGAACGGGGACCAGACGCCUGCGGGAGGCAGCAGAGGGGAAUAUGAGACAAUGGUGGCGAGCCUGGUCCAGCCAGACCGCGUGGGUGGAAAAGGCCUUCGGGUUGGAAAGCCCUUUUGUGGGGAGAAAAAAGCAGCAGGUUAAUACCCCGCUGGCCUGACGGUACCGAAAGAAGAAGCACCGGCUAACUACGUG
rnacentral:rRNA from 1 species